GUUUCCGUGAUAGCUUCUUUGACGUUCAAGAAUUGGAAAUCAGGGUAGGAGAUGGUAUUCGUUGUGAUGCUUGUCACAAGUAGUAGUAGCAGCAGCAGCGGCAGGGGAACAAGGGGGGGGGGGGGGAGCNNNNNNNGCAUGAUUUUUGUUCUUGGUGGUUUUUGGGGGGAAAGGGUGAGGGUGGAGAGGGAUUUAUUUGCGUUGGGUUUUGGGAUGCGAAGAGGAAAAAAGGAGUGUUUGUGGGGC
rnacentral:misc_RNA from 1 species